AGAGUUGUAUCAUGGCUCAGGAUGAACGCUAGCUACAGGCUUAACACAUGCAAGUCGAGGGGAAACGACAUCGAAAGCUUGCUUUUGAUGGGCGUCGACCGGCGCACGGGUGAGUAACGCGUAUCCAACCUGCCCACCACUUGGGGGAUAACCUUGCGAAAGUAAGACUAAUACCCAAUGACGUCUCUAGAAGACAUCUGAAAGAGAUUAAAGAUUUAUCGGUGAUGGAUGGGGAUGCGUCUGAUUAGCUUGUUGGCGGGGUAACGGCCACCAAGGCGACGAUCAGUAGGGGUUCUGAGAGGAAGGUCCCCCACAUUGGAACUGAGACACGGUCCAAACUCCUACGGAGGCA
rnacentral:rRNA from 1 species